GUCUCUACGAGUGGAAAACUUUACUUCCGCUCGGUACGUCGUGAGUUUUUUAUCAUUGUUUUUAUGUGUGCUGUGAAAUAAGUGAAAAUUUUCAGAAGUAAUUAAGACAAAGAAUUUUAUUGAAAUCAAUAAAUUGUUUAGCUAAAUUUAUUUAGCAAAGCUUAACACAGACGAUAAAUAAAUAAACAAUGGUUGGUUCACGAGUAUAUGUUGGAGGUUUGCCCUAUGGUGUAAGAGAACGUGAUUUAGAGCGUUUCUUUAAAGGCUAUGGUCGAACACGCGAUAUUUUAAUUAAAAAUGGCUACGGUUUUGUGGAAUUUGAAGAUUAUCGCGAUGCGGAUGAUGCCGUUUAUGAAUUAAACGGGAAAGAGCUAUUGGGAGAAAGGGUUGUGGUUGAACCUGCCCGAGGCACUGCUCGAGGUAGCCAUAGGGAUCGUUAUGACCGCUAUGACGGUGGACGUCGUGGUGGCGGACGUUACAAUGACAAAAAUAAAAACAACAGAUCCAAUUCCCGUUAUGGACCACCAUUGCGAACUGAAUAUCGUCUUAUUGUAGAAAACUUAUCCAGUCGUGUUAGCUGGCAGUGCGUGUCCUAAACAUACAAGGUGGUGUAUCAAAUUAGGUGAACAAAAUACAAAAUGGGUCAAUUACAAUGAUGCACUUAAAACGGAAACAAUCCUAGUAAUAAUCUAUGUGGGUCCUAAAAUGUGUUAACUUCCUUAAAUUUUUGAUUUGAUGGUGACUAUCGAUCAAUAUCAAUGUCAAAGAUGGUGGCAAACAUUGACACGAAGAAAGAAAACAAUUAUAACAUUGAUAAAGCUGGUCAACGUAAUACCAAUGAUGACUAUACACAAAACGACGUUAAACGUGUGACUUUAAAAUGAAGAAAUUAUGAUCGAAGAAAUUAUGAUUGGCCAUUUGCUAAUGCUAAAUGGACAGAGAACACAUGUAUACAUACUUGUUUUAUGAUAAGAAAUAAUGAAAAAAUAAGCAAAUUCAUUUAAAUAGAGAUAAAUGAAUAUUCUUUUAUCACAGAUGCCAUUUAAGUUCAGGUUUCUUAACAUAAUUUACAUACAUAUGUAAAAAUAUUCAACGCAGAAGAUGCCUACGAAUGACAUCGCAAUCUGUUCGCUUGUAAAAAUGCCACACGUGUACUACGGAGUCUAGAAAAAUCACAUAACACAAAAGAAAAACACUAUAAUGUAGUCACUUGCUUAUAAAAAAGACAAUUUCAUCAUUGAUACCACGAGGAAGAUAAAAUAUAAAAACAAAGAGAUAAAUCCAUACAUCUCCCCGCCUACCUACUUAGUGCUUACAUAUAUGUACGUACAUGCAUCCAAAUAUGGUGGUCAUCCAUGAAAUGUUGAAGUUGUUUUAUUUUAUACGUUUGUGUUUGUGUUUAAGAAUGAGAACGAAUGAUACGAUACCAUCACUUUAGAAUUCUGAAAGCAUAUUUCGUUUUUGUCAUUUCCGAACACAAGAUUUCGGAAUACUCGAUCGAUGCAGAGGUCCGUCUAAUUUUGCGAUUGUGAACUUAAUGUGAAACAAAUAAUUACACGUUUGGAAUAAAAUACGGAUAUCUAAAUAAAGAUCCUGCGUGAAUCCUAAUCCAGCCAUGCCUCUCCAUACUAAUCACAUCAACCGGGAAAAUUCCAAGAAAUAUUAACUAGAGAUCAUUCUGACUGGCAUACAGGCAGGCAAAAACGUUCACAAGAAGACUAUUUUUAUACAUAGUGAGAGAGAGAGAGAGGGAGCAAGAAAUGAGAGGGAAUAUUUUGCUUACCAACUAUGAUUCACUUUUCUAAAUCUUGAUGACUGGCGAAACACGAUCCAUUUCUUCCUACGUUUUUUGGGCUCAACAAUUCUUUGACUGUAGAUGAAGACGACGGAGACUGGGUUUUGCUUGAAGACAAUUCAUUAAGUUGUGAAGCCAAGAAAUCUUGAGCUCUACGUCCUAACUGAGAUGAUGCUUUCAAGAUGUUUGACCACACGAAUUGGCCGGCUUAAAACACUUACAUAAACUUGUCUCUUUUUUAACUCUGAGACUUGUUACAAUUUCUCUUUUUUUCAGUAGUUGCAGUACGUUUUAAAGCGAACUGAUACAUGACUCUUUUUCCAGUGAGGUUGGCAAACUAUACUCAAACAUCCGUCCAUAGGUUCAGACUUAAAACAUUUCUUUGGCAAACAAUUUUGGCAGAUGUCAUUGGCUAAUAACUAAUGUCGCCUACUACAACCACCACCACUGUGUUCCCCCUUUCCCAAAAUAAAGACUACUGGAAGCUGGCUAAAGAAUAUAUUCAGACAGACAGUACUGAUUAACAUGGUCUGUGUUGGCUAAAUCGUACAUUAUCCGAUGUUUUAUAUUCCUCCAGCUCUUGAUUUAUAGUAUUGGUUAUAAGAAAACGUACAUUUUCUAAAUGUGUGCGCCCCCUUAAAGAUGAUGAUGUUGAUGAAGUGUUCCCUUAUCGCGAUUUUGUAGUACAAUUCCUAUGAAAAACAUGUGUGCAUCGUUCUUUUGAGGUGUGAAGAGUAUGCGUUACCACAGCUUGAAAAGACUUCAACUUUUAUGAGAAUCGGCCGCCUACUUCUAACAACUACCCUUCCCAUCACCUAUACAUACAAAAAAAAAACACGUGCCACUAGUCAAAAUUGGUCAGUUGAUCUCGUUCUGGUUCUGGUAGAUUGAUUGGUCAAUAAUAAAAACGUACCAAUAAACACAGACGUCUCGUCUCCUAU